UUUGGGGGAGCUCUAAGAAGGACAGCAGUAUGGAGUAGGCUGUUGGGAACAGCAGCCCAGCCCUGUGCAGAGCUCGCUAACUCAGUCUCCCUCCCUCUGCAAACAUUGGAUUUAAACCUGCUCAGAAUUCAGCGCAGACGAAAGCAGCAGCAGCGGCGGCGGCAGCAGCAAGCAGCAAGCAAAUCAGCCGCUAGCCUAGCGCAGCUUCAAGAUGUACCAUCCUGCCUGCUGGAUCGUCUUCACCGCCACAACUGCCCUGCUCUUCAUCCCAGAGCACGGAAGGACAACAAGGUCUUCGUGUGGGGCUCCCAGAGCAGCACCAACUGGUGGAACUGGGAGGAACCAGGCUGUGCGUGCCCUGUGUGCUCCCCCAGGAGCCUUGGUGUGCUGUCCACCUGCCCGCCCAUCACCUCUCCUCCCGCAACUGUUCACUUCUGGCUUUUGUCUCCUGUACUUGUUGCUAUGCGUGCGGCGUGUGGAAGGAGCGCUGGCGAAUAUAGGCCACACUUUGAUUGUUCAGCAAGCUGGAAAAUGAUGAUUAUAAUUUUUGACAGAAGGGAAGGAGGGGGAAGGAGAUCUCUGGGCUUUCAAAUCUGCUCUGUCAUAAGCAGGAUCUUGCGAGGGCCUUCUGAUGACUUCUCCCUCCCCAAAGGAAAUGGUGUUUGCAUAGCAAGAGGGGUUACAGGAAAAAUUCCUCUCUUCACAAGGACAAAACAGCGCUUCUUGCACCAAGCCUUCCACCUUGUGCAGCAGUCCUGUCACUGCACAUAAGCACAGCGCGGGCGGUGGUGGCCGGUAAUUGAACGGGAAGCAUCGGAGAGAGACCUGGAGUUGGAUGCUGCUAUAAAAAACCCACAGUCCCUGACAGAGCCGCGUGCAGACAUACCCCACGUAGCAGCCUGGCCACGUUUGGCUGUGCUGGCACACGCUUUGGGGCAAAUUUUGGCUGGACCUGACCCUACACCUCUGUUUUUCCCCUCUCCUGGGUGGCAGCAGAGCCCCUGGAGACCUCCACGCUGCCCUUUCCCUCCUGCAGUCCCAGGCGCUGGCAGCCGGUGUUGGCCGCCUGCUCCUGGCUGGAUCUGCCCGUUUAUUUAUUUUAUUUAAUGGCUUUGGCUAAUUUCCACUUUAAUUUUUUUUUUACAUAUUAUUUAUUUUAACGUGAUCGCCUCUAAUGAGGCUAAUGACAUUUAGUCUCCGCGGUGGUGCAUGUUAAUUUGGGCACUGAAAUGUCAGCGCGAGGCAGUCGCCUCCUAUCUGCACGGCAC
rnacentral:lncRNA from 1 species